rnacentral:rRNA from 1 species
GAUGAACGCUGGCGGCGUGCUUAACACAUGCAAGUCGAACGAUGAAGCCCAGCUUGCUGGGUGGAUUAGUGGCGAACGGGUGAGUAACACGUGAGUAACCUGCCCUUAACUCUGGGAUAAGCCUGGGAAACUGGGUCUAAUACCGGAUAGGAGCGUCCACCGCAUGGUGGGUGUUGGAAAGAUUUAUCGGUUUUGGAUGGACUCGCGGCCUAUCAGCUUGUUGGUGUGGUAAUGGCUCACCAAGGCGACGACGGGUAGCCGGCCUGAGAGGGUGACCGGCCACACUGGGACUGAGACACGGCCCAGACUCCUACGGGAGGCAGCAGUGGGGAAUAUUGCACAAUGGGCGGAAGCCUGAUGCAGCGACGCCGCGUGAGGGAUGACGGCCUUCGGGUUGUAAACCGCUUUCAGUAGGGAAGAAGCGAAAGUGACGGUACCUGCAGAAGAAGCACCGGCUAACUACGUG